rnacentral:rRNA from 1 species
AUGGAGGUGUCGCUGACGCACGUCGCCGCCGGCAUGCAGUCUCUCAUCGAAGCCAACCACUCCGCCGCCGUCGUCGCGCACUCUUUGCAGAUCCCCGGCAACAAAUCAUCUCAUUUCCGACACGUGGGACCAUAUAUGUUCAUGGCGUUGGCCAUGCAGCAGCAGGUGGCCGAGAUGUCAUACACCAGCGUGAAUGGCACCACGUUGACAUACUACCGCGCCGAGAAGGGUCAGCAGUCAGCGAAGCUCGUUAGCCAACGCGGCAAAUGGUACACCGAGCAUGCGGUUGAUCCGGUGACCGGCCGUCUCACCGGCCGCCCCGUCCCAGCGACGAGGCCGGAGCACCUGCCCAACGCGACACAGCUCCUCGCCGCCGCCAGCAGCGGCUCGCCCGUGGCGCUCUGGGCCGGGUGGGUCCACUCUAGCGUCCAGGUGAUGGUCUUCUCCGCGCCCGUCGGCCAGACCGCCGUGGUCUCCGCCGCCAUCCCCGUCGACGUCCUGACGAUCACCAGCCUGGGAACCGCGGCCGAUCCGUCCGUGGACACUUACUACGCGAUCACCGACAAGCGCAGCGGCGCGGCGACGGUAUAUAAGCCUUUGGUCGGUGGGAGGCCCGGCCACGACGCGGAGCUGAUGAAGACCUUGUUCUCGGAUACCAACUGCACCGCGUCCGCCAUUGACAAGCCCAAUAUCGUGCUCCACAGCGUCGGGUCGGACCAAGUUGCGUGCACGAGCUUCGACCUCUCUGGAGUGAACCUGGGAGUCUGGCUAGUGCUCAGCAAGUGGAGCGGGGCAACCAAGGUCCGACAGAUCGGGGUGGCCGUCGUGUGCAUCGUGUGUGCAAUCACGAUAGUGGCGACCGUGGUGUGCUUCCUCAUGGCGCAGGUGUUGUGGAGGGUCAGGGCGCGGGAGGUCGCGCUGGAGGCCGACCUAGUGCAACAGAAGGAAGCGCUCCAGCAAACGGAGCACAAGAGCGUGAACAAGAGCAACGCCUUUGCCCGCGAUAGCCAUGACAUCCGCUCCUCGCUCGCUGCUGUCGCUGGACUCAUCGAGAUAUCCCGGCCGGAGACCCGUGGCAACACCAAUCUCAUCUAUAACCUCAACCAGAUGGAUGUCGGCACCAACAAGCUCUUCGAUAUACUCAACACAAUACUGGACAUGGGCAAGUUGGAGUCCGGGAAGAUACAAAUAGAAGAGGUAGAGUUCAGGAUGGCAAAUGUCCUCGAGGAAUCCAUGGACCUGGCGAACGUCAUUGGAAUGUCAAGAGGUGUCGAGGUGAUCUGGGACCCUUGUGACUUUUCCGUGCUCCGGUGCACUGCCACCAUUGGUGACUGUAAACGUGUCAAGCAAAUCCUCGAUAACCUUCUUGGCAACGCCAUCAAGUUCACACACGAAGGCCAUGUCAUGCUGCGGGCGUGGGCCAACCACCCCACCAUAAGGGGCUCCAUGAUCAGCACCCCGUCAAGGUUCGGCCCCCGCCGUCGCACCGGUGGGGUCUUCCGUCGGAUGCUUGGAAGGAGUGAGAAUUGUGCCGAACAAACUGACGGCUUGUCCUUGAAAAUUGAUCCCGAUUCGGUUGAGUUUUAUUUUGAGGUGGUUGACACUGGUGUGGGGAUACCUGAAGAGAAGAGGGAGUCUAUCUUUGAGAACUACGUUCGUCUCAUGGGAGGGGAGAUAAACAUCAAGGACAAGGAGCCCGGAGAAGCGGGAACGUGCUUUGGCUUCAACGUGUUCCUGAAGGCCAGCGAGAGUCCAGAGAUUGAAGACAACCUCGAGGAAGGGAGAGCGGCGCCUUCUCUGUUCAGGGAGCCCGCCUGCUUCAAGGGCGGACACUGCAUCCUCCUCGUCCACGGUGACGAGACCCGCCGGAUCCUGCACACAUGGAUGGAGAGCAUCGGGACGAGGGUCUGGCCCGUCUCGUGCGCCGAGCUCCUCGCCCCGACCAUCGACAAGGUGUGCUCCACCUUCGGUGCCUCGCCGUCAAGGUCGGCGUCGAUGUCGUUGCUGCACAGCGCAGGAGGCGGCGCCACGGAUCGCUGCUUCAGCUCCAAGGAGAUAGUCAGCGACCUGCGGAAUAGCAGCGGCAUGGCCGGCAACCACGCCGGGCACCUCCACGCCUUAGGCCUGCUAGUCGUCAUUGACGUCUCCGCUGGGAGGCUCCACGAGGUCGCCCGUGAGGCGGCGAGCUUGGCGAGGACCAAGCUCCAGGCACCGUGCGGGGUCGUCUGCCUGACGGACCUCAAGACCCCCUCCCAGGACCUGAGGAGGUUCAUGGAGGCGAGCAGCUGCGACCUCGAGUUGCACAAGCCCAUCCACGGCUCCCGGCUGCACAAGCUCCUCCAGGUCAUGAGGGACCUCCAGGCAUCCCAUUUCGAGCACCUGCACUUGUAUCAGUUCGAGAUGCCGGCGGCAGAUCAGACCACUGCGUCAGCGUCCGAGAUCACGCCCGCGGUGCCUAUGGGACCAGCCAAUGUUGGAGACGGCAAGCCGCUGGAGGGGAUGCGCGUGCUACUAGUGGACGACACCAUGCUGCUGCAGAAAAUCCACGAACCGAUGUUGAGCGAUCUUGGAGCAGCCGUGGUGAUUGCAGGUGAUGGCUCCGUGGCUGUGGCCAUGUUCACAGAAGCUCUACACAACGCUUUGCCCUAUGACGUGGUGCUCAUGGAUUGCCAGAUGCUGGUGAUGAAUGGCUAUGAGGCGACGAGGCGCAUCCGCGAGGAAGAAAGCCGCUACGGCGUCCGCACCCCGAUCAUCGCGCUGACUGCGAAUUCCGCGAAGGAGCGGCUGCGGGAGGCCGUCGAAGCUGGGAUGGAUCUUCAUCUCACAAAGCCGAUACCCAAGCCGAAGAUCGCAGGGGUUGUUCUUGAGCUCUGCAAACAAGACAAGAACUGA